rnacentral:rRNA from 1 species
CAUGAAGCUGGAAUCGCUAGUAAUCGCAGGUCAGCAUACUGCGGUGAAUACGUUCCCGGGUCUUGUACACACCGCCCGUCACACCAUGGGAGCCGGAAAUGCCCGAAGCCAGUGACCCAACCUUAGGGAGGGAGCUGUCGAAGGUGGAGCCGGUAACUGGGGUGAAGUCGUAACAAGGUAAC